AUUGAACGCUGGCGGCAGGCCUAACACAUGCAAGUCGAGCGGAUGAAGGGAGCUUGCUCCUGGAUUCAGCGGCGGACGGGUGAGUAACGCCUAGGAAUCUGCCUGGUAGUGGGGGAUAACGUCCGGAAACGGGCGCUAAUACCGCAUACGUCCUGAGGGAGAAAGAGGGGGAUCUUCGGACCUCACGCUAUCAGAUGAGCCUAGGUCGGAUUAGCUAGUUGGUGGGGUAAAGGCCUACCAAGGCGACGAUCCGUAACUGGUCUGAGAGGAUGAUCAGUCACACUGGAACUGAGACACGGUCCAGACGCCUACGGGAGGCAGCAGUGGGGAAGAUUGGACAGUGGGCGGAAGCCUGAUCCAGCCAUGCCGCGUGUGUGAAGAAGGUCUUCGGAUUGUAAAGCACUUAAAGUUGGGAGGAAGGGCAGGAAGUUAAUACCUUGCUGUUUUGACGUUACCAACAGAAUAAGCACCGGCUAACUUCGUG
rnacentral:rRNA from 1 species